UUUGGCUGGAGUUCUCUCUGUACUUGAGGCUUUCUGAAGCCAUGCUUCCUGCUGGGCUGGGCCAUGCUUGCUCCAGCUGUUCCAGAUGAGGUCCAAGCAGAAGUGCCCAGGGUGACAUGACGGAUGGCAGCCGCACACCAUUUGCGCUCUCGCUCCAUCCCCUGAAGUGCUGUACACACAGAUGUGUGCAUGUGUGCAGUCUAGGAGUUUAUACAUCAUCUCAAAAUGUUAUUAUGCCACUUAGACAAGUACAAAGACUUGUACUCGAGGAGAAGAUAGUUGGCUUGGGAUUAUCCUCAUUUCCUGUGGGUGUUCAAUCUAAUCUUAGACAGGCUGUCAAGAAAUCUGUUUCCAAUACAGUCAAAUGUAACCUUUAUCUGUAGGAAGUUCUGUUAUGCCAGAGACAUAGAAUUCUUGAGCUCAGCUUUUAUCAUAAAGCCUUAGCUACACCACAUACAUAUAUAAGCUGAAUCCCAACUCUUAGAGGUCUGCAGGUCCAAAACCCUGAUUUUCAUUUGAACCUCAACGGGUCAGUUUGGAGAAGAGAAAAGCUAUAGGCCAUGUGGGUUUGUGUUGCUGUGGCAGUAUGCUUGGUUUUGGUGCUUGCUGGAGCACCCAGAGUGCCAAGCAUUCCCACAGAGGCUUACAGGAAGGUUACUAACUGCAUGAAAAUGGAUUCUCAGGGAAUGGGUUGAUGGUUUUCAGGCUGAGCUGGUAUCCUCUGGAUAAAGGGAGGUGGUAGAAAAUGUUACAUACUUUGCUGCUCUGCAACAGCUUGUUUGAAGUGUCUGUUGUUGGAUGUGUCCAUUAUCUGUUGUCUAACCAGCCUCAUUGACUGCAAAUGUAUGUUAAAUAAGGCAGGAAAGAGAACUGAUCCUUCAGGGACUCCAGAAGAGUACAGUGGGGAAAACUGUCAGGUCCCACAUACUCCUCAGGGCUUAUGCUGUUGAAUACUGUUCACAAUACAGGUUCACACUCUGUUGCUUUUUGAGGAUCAAAAGCACGCAGUUUGUUAUUCCUCUUUGUUGGUGUCAUUGUAAUGCACCCUGCUCACUUCUCAGAGGCAACAUCCUGCUAUGCAGUGCUGCACUCAUUCUGGAGUGACCAUCAGCACCAAGGAAGUAACAGAUUCAACAGUCAAAUACUGUUUUCUUCUCCAAGUUCUACAAAAACUUGUAUUGGUGAACAUAUACUGAGAUAAUCAUUACUUUGAAAUCUUUGAUUUAAGUUGAGAACUAUGGGCAUAUGUGAGAGUUUCUAUGUCAAAUUUGUAUUUGACUCUAGUAUUACUUUUCCUGCAUACAUUCACAUUUUGCAAAAUUAUAUAGUGGAGAACCUGAGCUUUUCCCUUCAAGUUUUCCCUACCGAAGUGGGUGUGGAAAGCGUGGUUUCACCUGUUGAGACUUCUUGUAACAACAAAUCAAGGCCGCACACCACUGGUAGGGUAGUUUGCUCAUGAAUACCGUAAUAACAGUAGAAGCACAUCUUUAGACUGGUAGUUUCUCACACCACUGAUUCUCUCUUCUAAAACUCAGGCUAAAAUCUCUUGAAAGGGACGUACUUGUAUAACUGCUAGACAAUAGCUCACACAUGCACAAAGCCAUGGACCCACGCCCAAAGAUUUCUUCCAAAUGCCAGUAAAUGCCCCAGUCUAUGUGCAUCUAUCUUAGACUUACUUCUGUAGUAUUUUUCAGAAGUGAAAAUCCCUGUGAAUGUUGCUUUUAAAUCAAUCAGCUAUAAUUUUCAGCCUCAAUAGUGGUACAGUGUGAUAGAUACAAGACAUUGCCAAUCUUAUUUCUUGAUUACAGUUGACUGUCUCAGACAAUGCUGUGAGUAGCAAGAAAACAAAGCAUUUCUAUUUCAUAGUGAUGCCAUGGUACUUUAAUGACAGUAAGAGUUGUUGCUGAGAAUCCUGCAUUUAAAGCUGACUUCAUACAGUUCCAUCCAAGGAUACAUUUUUCACAUUAUAAUCAUCUAAUCAUGCAUUCAUUCAACAUGAACUUUGCCUUCACGUGAAAGGAUAAAAUAUUAUACGGUUUAAAGUAAAGGGUGGAACUGCAACCAUGUAUUUUAGUCUUGCUCACAGUACUAGAAUGCACGCAGUCAUGCUAGCUCUCGAGAGGAAGCACAAAUUAAAAAAUGUUUGUUAUGAAAUGCGUUUCAUGUGAAUAGAUGUCAGAAUGGCACAGUUUCACCCCUUGACUAAACCAAACUCAUUUAAAUGAAACUACAUGUAUUACAAUGGAGAGAACAUUAGCAGAGUAUCAAAUUCAGAUUAUUACCUGCUGUCCUACAGGGACUGUCUAAAAAUGAAGGCUUCCAUUUUCUUGUUUUUCUAUUUCAACCAACCAUUCAUUCUGUUCACUUUUAGGAAUCAUGUAGUUUGAGAAAGCUGCAUUGGGGUGGUGGGCAUAGCUCACAGAUGCCUAUGGGUGAGCUAGCAAUGCGGAGUUGUUAAAUCAAGAGAGCAGAUCUUAAGAGCAACACUGCGCAUUACAACCUCUGCAUUACACAGGCUGCGCCGUGACUGCAGGGAAACUGCAGGGUGAGAGCAUACUAGAGGUACAGCCCUGUUUACAAGCUCUUCACAGUACUUUGCCAGUAUGAAAUAUGGUUAGAUUGUAAGGAAAAAGAAAAUAUAUAUUACCCAGUACCAUAUUAACAAAAUUUUCAACAGCAGUGUGUUUUUCUAAGGGUUAGCAGACUCGGGGAUCUGCAGUGCUUUUUAAAGGUAAGGGAAAUCAGCUGAGGCAUCUGAGGUUGUGCAACAGGUAGCUAUUUUGGGGAUCUGUUCCCCCUUUUCCCUACCCGUAUCUGGGAAAGCCAAACAUCAGUUCUCACAGUAGAAGUCCCACUUCAUAAGCUUUUUUUCUGCCAAAAGGAAGCACAUCGCACUAUCUAUCCCUGUAUGACCCUCAGUCCUGUUGUAUCUGCUAGGUAAGAGUACAAAGGGUUAAACAGCAGUGCUUUCUGAAGCCUCAGGUGCUCAACUUGCUCAAGGGCGAUAUGGGAGAAACUAUCUCGCCAACGGCCAUUUAUGCCUUCCUCCUCAUCUACUUACCGAAAUGUUUUUCCCUGCUGCUAGAGGCAGUUAGGCAUGAUUUUCCAUGCACCUGCUUUGGGGACUUGCACAGCUCUGUAGCCGGUCCAGCUGCACAGGGGAAAGCUGUAAGAAACUUGGGUUGCAUUGUUUACCUUUUUAAAGCGUUCAUCAGGGUAGGUGAGAUCAGACUGUAAGAGUGAGUGAGACCAAAUAAUGGCUGAUAAAAGACAGGAGUGUUUAGGAAGGAAUGGACUUCCUUACAAGGAGGAAAUGAUGGAGACAGACACUGCUUUCUGCAGGGGAAAAAAAUGUGCCACAUAUGCAAAAUUGGAAGAUGCCUAGGGGAAAAGACAAAGUUGAUAUCAGUGUGAGUGGCAUCUUGGGGAAAACCCCAGCUGACAGAAGGAGGCUGCAUAGAGGGACAAGUGCUGGGAACUACUAGACAACUGACUGGCACAUAUGUGGUUUCUGGUGAUUAAAAUAAGCCAUUUAAAAACAGACCUGCUUGAAAAGCAAAAAAAGUAAAUGACAUUAUAGCGGAUGGAACAGCUACCAGAUGGUCCAGUUAGCAGCAGCUACUAGAUUUUGUUUUUGUUUUUUUAAAUACACACAUGUACUCACACGAGCAAAUGCUCAUGGGCCAAACCGGACUGUAAAAGCCAUCUGGCACAGCCUGCACACGUUUACUACCCUGCAAAACCUCAUUCUCUCUGACAUUAUUUGUGGUUAGAGGACUAAUUCUAGUUUCAGCCAGGCAACUAGGCUGCAAUCUGGAGUAGGAGAAUCAGAGGGCAGGGAAACAAAGCUGAGAGCCAUGCUUCCAAGAGGAAAAUGAACUUUACAUUCUCCGUUUCUAACAUGGUAAAAAGAAAAUUCCACUCAUUCUUUGCUAUAAAUCAAAAUGCGUAAAGAUCCCCACCACCAUCUUUUACACAAGGCAGGGCUUCAAAAUCCUUUCCCAGCUAGGAUAUUUUUUUUCAGUUACCCAUUACUUUCUUGUCUUCCCCAACAUCUGUCCAUCAGGACUUCCUAACACUGAAUGACUUUCUGUUUUCCAGUCCUCAGCCACUCCCAAUUCAAUUCCACUUGCACUUUAAGAGGGCUGAGAGCACCUCCUGAUGUACCCUAAAAAAGAGACAGUAUCUGUCACCCUGCAAAAAAGGCAUUUGAUAUGUCAUCACAAAGCAUUAAUAAAACGCACUCACAUUACAACAUCUAAUGUAUAUCAUUUUCUUAAAAGGGACGUUUAAUGAUAUGCACUUCUAAAGGAGAUCAUUCUGGGUGUUGUUUUCAUAAAACAGUAAAAGCAGUAAAAAAAAAAUGCUGAAAGCCUACAUGAUGCUGUACUAGAGAAAAUAUGCUUGCUCUGGAGUCCAGUCUGGCAAGUGACUCCAAGCGACUCAAUGCUGUCAGAAUUCGGCUUUGUUAGGUAGAUUCCUUAGCUGCAGUGCAGAAUUGGGUGGGUUUGGCUUGGGGUUGGUUUUAUGGUUUUGGUGUUUUUUUUUUAAGAAUUUAAAAAAGAAGCACAAGUGAGCUACAAAGUUCAGGUCUAUAAGCAAGCAUCAACAAUCAGUAAAGGAGUAGUUUCAAUCAAUCUCUAUGUCUGCAUGAAAUGUUAUGUGCCUAUGCCCUCACAGAUGAAACUUCAAGAUGAAAAAGCAGUGCUCCAGCACUGUUGCUCUAC
ensembl:lncRNA